GAUGAACGCUGGCGGCGUGCCUAAUACAUGCAAGUCGAGCGAACGGACGAGAAGCUUGCUUUUCUGAUGUUAGCGGCGGACGGGUGAGUAACACGUGGAUAACCUACCUAUAAGACUGGGAUAACUUCGGGAAACCGGAGCUAAUACCGGAUAAUAUUUUGAACCGCAUGGUUCAAAAGUGAAAGACGGUCUUGCUGUCACUUAUAGAUGGAUCCGCGCUGCAUUAGCUAGUUGGUAAGGUAACGGCUUACCAAGGCAACGAUGCAUAGCCGACCUGAGAGGGUGAUCGGCCACACGGGAACUUGGACACGGUCCAGACUCCUACGGGAGGCAGCAGUAGGGAAUCUUCCGCAAUGGGCGAAAGCCUGACGGAGCAACGCCGCGUGAGUGAUGAAGGUCUUCGGAUCGUAAAACUCUGUUAUUAGGGAAGAACAUAUGUGUAAGUAACUGUGCACAUCUUGACGGUACCUAAUCAGAAAGCCACGGCUAACUACGUG
rnacentral:rRNA from 1 species